rnacentral:rRNA from 1 species
CCUACGGGCGGCUGCAGUGGGGAAUAUUGCACAAUGGGCGCAAGCCUGAUGCAGCCAUGCCGCGUGUGUGAAGAAGGCCUUAGGGUUGUAAAGCACUUUCAGCGAGGAGGAAGGCAUCACACUUAAUACGUGUGGUGAUUGACGUUACUCGCAGAAGAAGCACCGGCUAACUCCGUGCCAGCAGCCGCGGUAAUACGGAGGGUGCAAGCGUUAAUCGGAAUUACUGGGCGUAAAGCGCACGCAGGCGGUUUGUUAAGUACGCUGUGCCCUGCCCUGUCUUCCCGUGGGACUUGCAUUUGCCGAUGGUACGCUAGAGUCUUGUCGAGGGGGGUAGAAUUCCAGGUGUAGCGGUGAAAUGCGUAGAGAUCUGGAGGAAUACCGGUGGCGAAGGCGGCCCCCUGGACAAAGACUGACGCUCAGGUGCGAAAGCGUGGGGAGCAAACAGGAUUAGAUACCCGAGUAGUC